CGCGGCCUAUCAGCUUGUUGGUGGGGUAAUGGCCUACCAAGGCUUCGACGGGUAGCUGGUCUGAGAGGACGAUCAGCCACACUGGGACUGAGACACGGCCCAGACUCCUACGGGAGGCAGCAGUGGGGAAUCUUGCGCAAUGGGCGAAAGCCUGACGCAGCAACGCCGCGUGAGGGACGAAGGUUUUCUGAAUUGUAAACCUCUUUCAGCAGGGAAGAUAAUGACGGUACCUGCAGAAGAAGCACCGGCUAACUACGUGCCAGCAGCCGCGGUGAUACGUAGGGUGCAAGCGUUGUCCGGAUUUAUUGGGCGUAAAGAGCUCGUAGGCGGUUCGAUAAGUCGGGUGUGAAACCCCCAGGCUCAACCUGGGGCCUGCACUCGAUACUGUCGUGACUAGAGUUUGGUAGGGGAUCACGGAAUUCCUGGUGUAGCGGUGGAAUGCGCAGAUAUCAGGAGGAACACCAGUAGCGAAGGCGGUGAUCUGGGCCAAUACAGACGCUGAGGAGCGAAAGCGUGGGGAGCGAACAGGAUUAGAUACCCUGGUAGUCCACGCCGUAAACGGUGGGCACUAGGUGUGGGGACUAUUCAACGGUUUCCGCGCCGACGCUAACGCAUUAAGUGCCCCGCCUGGGGAGUA
rnacentral:rRNA from 1 species